AUAAAGUUCAGUUCAUUCAUUCUCUAUCCUCUCUGAUUUUCUCAUUCACUUUGAUUUCUGAAUUUAGCUGUUUGUUUUGUGGGAAAUUCAUAUGCUUAGAUUUUUCUUUCUUAAUAGGCUGAUAUGACCAUGUUAGAAGACGAACUACCAACAAAAAGAUGACUUUCAUCAGCCCUUGUCAAGGUGGAAACUAGCUUAAGUCUUAUGUUCUUAAUAAUAAAAGGACUU